CUUUACUGCACUUUUGCAGUGGCAACAGGGGGGUACUGUGUAGGAUAGGUGGGAGGCUUUGAAGCCGGGGCGCCAGCCCAGGUGGAGCCAACCUUGAAAUACCACCCUGGACGCUUCUGUUGUCUAACCGAGCCUGGUGAAGCCCGGGCCGGGACCCUGCAUGACGGGCAGUUUGACUGGGGCGGUCGCCUCCCAAACAGUAACGGAGGCGCGCGAUGGUGGGCUCAGGCCGGUCGGACAUCGGCCUUACGAGUGCAAUGGCAUAAGCCCGCCUGACUGCGAGAGCGACAGCUCGAGCAGAGACGAAAGUCGGCCAUAGUGAUCCGGUGGUCCCUCGUGGACGGGCCAUCGCUCAACGGAUAAAAGGUA
rnacentral:rRNA from 1 species